ensembl:lncRNA
AUGUUUCCCACUUCUCCCAAAAAUAAAAAUAAAAACAUCUCAAUGGAUCCCUCUCUCUCAACGAUGAGCCCUAGAGAACUUUUAAUUCUUUUUUUUUUAUGUCUGGUGAAUUUUCAGAAGACUAAACCCCAGCGGAGACGUCCACCGGGACCUGAGAGGACGCUCAGGGACAGCGAAGACGAUAGCGAGGAUGAUGACGACAGCGGACUCGGGACGGCUGCGGAUGAAGACAGCACCGGCAGCAUGAACCAGAACUUUAAUACCAAACCAAACCCAGCCUCAUCGCGCCACACAGCAGCCAACAGCAGUCAGUACAGCAGCACACUUCUACAGAUACUACGUAGAGGAUGGCUUUUACCUUCCAAACACCAGAAAUUCAGACAAAUGUGCACAUUAAUCCACAUUUCCUCAUGGUUUACGAGCAUUAAUAGACUCAGUCGAGAGAGACAUUUAUAUUCUCAGCCGUCUCCUUUGUGAUUCAGAAUAAGACACGUUAGUCCAGGGAGGUCCAAACCUUUCAAGACGAGGGCCAAAAAAGUCAUGUUUGAAUUCAACGGGGGCCCAGGAAUCUGAUUUUGUUCAUUUAAAAAAUGCAAAUAUUAUUUUGUAUAAUUAAUUAUAAAUUUUUACUCUUCUAAAUAAAUCCCAAAUAGGCCUAUGAGUAAAUAUCUGAACAUAAACAUGCUAGAGAGUGGCGAACUAUAUCUGUCACGAUACGGUGGUGUGGACCUAAAAUGCAGUACCCAGGAUGAGACGGAGGCAGGGAUGAAGAUUUUAAGUGAAAAGUCUUUAUUUUGUGGGUGAGCCAAAAACCAAGGUAAUCCAAACUGGGAGUCAAAAUCCAAAAAGCCAAAAAUCCAAAAGGUCAAAAAGCAGAUUCUUAUCUGGGGAUCAAGAAACUCUGGUUAAACACAGAGGGACUAAACUGACAGAAUCAACAAACAUUAAUGGACCGACACAAGACAAAGACAAGACAGGGCUUAAAUAGACUGGGAGGGGCAAUCAGGAAAACAGGCAGCAGGUGUGCGGAGUGAGCUGCUGGAGGGAAGGCAGGUGACAAUAAUAAUCUAAAUGGGGAAACAGAACAGAGAAUGGCAGAUAACCCUAAAAUACAAUAUUUAAACCUAAAGACUGAGGGAAAGGCUCACACAAACUAUCUGGAGGAGGACAUAAUACACACACAUAUACACUCAUACACACANCACACACACACACACACACACACACACACACACACACACACAGAGCAGGGGACUGAGAGCCUGGGGGCUACAAGGACACAGAAAAUGAAGACCUGGAGGGGCUGGGGAGGAAUGAGAUGACACGGGACCUGGGAGGAAUAAUUGUACCGGUUACCACAUAAGGCACAAGACUGAGACGAAGACAAGGACACAUGAGGGCGCUAUGAGACACAAAAGGGAAUCUAGAGUGGGAUGGAGGACACCAGGAGGCACAAAAAGGAGGGGGCAGACGCAGACCAUGACAUAUAUCAACACGGGCAGAGAGGCACAUGAGGGGCGGGACUCGCCAGCUCAAAAGUAACCAAUCAGAAAAAAAGGCGUAAAUGCCGACUGCAUCACUUGAUGGUAAUUUUUUAGCUGUUGUCAAAAAUGGCGUCUAGGAUGACGCAGACAUGAGCAGCAGCAAACUCUGCUUCAGGCGCCAUCUUUGUUGUUUAUGAGCGUUGCGGUGUGUGACGUAAGCGGCUCAGCGCUGAUUGGCUCGGUUAGAAUUCUCAGGGGGUGGGAUUAUUUGAAUAGGAGAGUUCCCAGAGCCAUGGGGCUGGCUGGUCAGACUAUCAACAUCCUAUUGGAGAGAAAAAAUUCAUCUUUGUAGAAACUCCAGUGGGGCCGUACAAAAUGACUAAGAGGGCCACACUUUGGACAUGCCUGCUCUAGCCCCGUCAGAGACUCUGACGGUGAUCUUGUGAUUUCUCCUCAUGGCAGAUCAAGUUCAUUACAAGGAGAACUUUUUGGUGUAUAAUUAAAUAUCUAUUUUUAAAUUUUAAUCAGGAACCUUCCACACCAGAACCUCUGCACCGAACAAGAGCCGUGAGAGAGCCUUCAGGUCAGACUGGUGUUAGCGUUUCAUUUCCACUUUAAGCUGAGUAGGAAACAAACUCACCCAUCAGGCUAAGAUGCUAUCGCUAACCUUUUAUUCCUUCCACCAGACCCACCACCAAGCCUGAUGAGGAUGAAUCUGACUCUGAAGAUGAAAACACCUCCAGAAGGUCAGGAAAGGUCAUUUCUUCACUCGGGAGUUUGACAAAAACGGGUGUGACAAAAAAUCUGACUCAAAAUUUAGAUUUCCAGAUAAAUAAAGUGGAUGGAUCUUAAAGAAGAAACCUUCUUUUUUGUAAAAGAACAAACAAAGAAUUUCAACAGCAAACAUACAAAGUAGAAAAGUUUCCAUCCAUCAGAUUCGGGUCAUUUUCCACUGAUUUAAGCUCAGACUUGAAAACUCUCACUUAAAUCUUCAGCAGUAGGUGAAUUCAUGACUAAAAUGUUGAUCUUUGCCUUUAUUUUCUUUUAAUUCUGCAGCAUUUAAACAGAUUUACAGUCUUCCUUCUCUUACGUUGCUAUCGAUCACGCUUGAUUCUGCCUACAGCUGCCGCCCGCUCAGCGUGUGCACCGGGGAGCUCGUUAGCGCUCGCAGAAGCAAGAUGGCUGCAGGAGCAGCUCUAGCCGACACCGAUCCUCUGGCCAUCGACCAGUCGGUCAGUUAAAACGUUUAAGAAAAUCAAAAUCUGAUCUUCUGUGUUUAUUUUAAUACUGAAACACGUUUCAGACAUUUUCUAUGACUCGUUUCUGCCUCCUCGCUGGCUUCAGGUGGAUUUUGACAGCAUUGGAGGUCUGUCGGGUCACAUCUCUGCUCUGAAGGAGAUGAUCGUCUUCCCGCUCCUCUACCCAGAAUUCUUUGACAGUUUUAAGAUUCAGCCUCCCAGGUGACCCAGAGGCUCACAGGCUGCAAGCCGACUUUUACACCUGACGUAUGAACUCAUCACACCUGCUCUUCUCCAGGGGUUGUCUGUUCUACGGCCCUCCUGGAACUGGGAAAACCCUGGUGGCUCGGGCGUUGGCCAACGAGUGUUGUCAUGGCAACAGGAAGGUGUCUUUCUUCAUGAGGAAGGGAGCCGACUGCCUCAGCAAGUGGGUGGGGGAGUCGGAGCGGCAGCUGCGGCUGAUGUUUGAACAGGUAACUGUGCAAAUCUGACGUCACCGCGCUGCCCCCUAGUGGUCAGGUGUGGAUCAGACUAAAACUGAUGCUUACGGUGUGUUUUCUGAAGAUAAAACAUAUGAAAAAGAUGAAAUAUUACUUGUAAAACUCUUAAGAUAUCAUCUGUCCCUUGACUUGU